GACGGAGGUUGCUAGCGUUGUUCGGAAUCACUGGGCGUAAAGGGCGCGUAGGCGGCCCAUGCCGUCGGCUCGUGAAAGCCCGGGGCUCAACCCCGGAGGUGCGGCCGAGACCCAUGGGCUGGAGGCCGGAAGAGGAGGGUGGAAUACCCAGUGUAGAGGUGAAAUUCGUAGAUAUUGGGUGGAACACAGGUGGCGAAAGCGGCUCUCUGGUCCGGUCCUGACGCUGAGGCGCGAAAGCGUGGGGAGCAAACAGG
rnacentral:rRNA from 1 species